rfam:Gossypium hirsutum cultivar TM-1 chromosome 14, whole genome shotgun sequence
AUAAAUGUUAGCUCUAUUCCAAUUUGAUCUUAUUUGAUUCUUUUUAAAUAAUACAAUGACUAAAUUGAUCCAUUUAAUAGUACAGAGACUAAUUUAAUUUGAUUAGUUAAUUGGUGAGGCAAUAGCUUACCAAGGCGAUAGUAGCAGGUCCAAGAGGAUGAUCAGCCACACUGGGACUAAGACACGACCUAGACUCCUAUGGGAGGUAGUAGUAGGGAAUUUUUCAUAAUGGGCAAAAGCCUAACGGAGCAAUGCUGCGUGGAAGUAGAAAGCCCACGGGUCAUGAACUUCUUUUCCCGGAGAAGAAGCAAUGUCGAUAUAUGAGGAAUAAACAUCGGCUAACUCCAUGCCAACAGUCGCGGUCAUACAGAGGAUACUAGGCGUUGU